UGAUGACGUCAUGAACAGGAGCUGCGCGUGUUGAACCGGCUUCUGUUAAGUAAUGACGUCCUCACAGGGAGCUGAAUGAAGCAAUAAUGAAUUUUGUUGACGAGGCUAGCAGGUAGUCGUUGAUAAAUAGCGCGCACACCUGUAACUUUUUAGACGCCAAAGGAUAAAUCAUUCCAUAACUGAAGAAGAAGGAACGCUGCCCAAA